rnacentral:rRNA from 1 species
AUUGAACGCUGGCGGCAUGCCUUACACAUGCAAGUCGAACGGCAGCACGGGAGCAAUCCUGGUGGCGAGUGACGAACGGGUGAGUAAAGUAUCGGAACGUGCCCAGUCGUGGGGGAUAACGUAGCGAAAGUUACGCUAAUACCGCCUACGAUCUAUGGAUGAAAGCGGGGGAUCGCAAGAACUCGCGCGAUUAGAGCGGCCGAUAUCAGAUUAGGUAGUUGGUGGGGUAAAGGCUCACCAAGCCGACGAUCUGUAGCUGGUCUGAGAGGACGACCAGCCACACUGGGACUGAGACACGGCCCAGACUCCUACGGGAGGCAGCAGUGGGGAAUUUUGGACAAUGGGCGAAAGCCUGAUCCAGCCAUGCCGCGUGCAGGAUGAAGGCCUUCGGGUUGUAAACUGCUUUUGUACGGAACGAAAAGGUUUGGCCUAAUAAGCUGAGCUCAUGACGGUACCGUAAGAAUAAGCACCGGCUAACUACGUGCCAGCCGCCGCCGUAA